AGAACUCGAAGACAGAUCGUAGCU
rnacentral:siRNA from 1 species